rnacentral:rRNA from 1 species
AGAUUGAACGCUGGCGGCAUGCCUUACACAUGCAAGUCGAACGGCAGCACGGGAGCAAUCCUGGUGGCGAGUGGCGAACGGGUGAGUAAUACAUCGGAACGUGCCCAAUCGUGGGGGAUAACGCAGCGAAAGCUGUGCUAAUACCGCAUAAGAUCUACGGAUGAAAGCAGGGGAUCGCAAGACCUUGCGCGAAUGGAGCGGCCGAUGGCAGAUUAGGUAGUUGGUGAGGUAAAGGCUCACCAAGCCUUCGAUCUGUAGCUGGUCUGAGAGGACGACCAGCCACACUGGGACUGAGACACGGCCCAGACUCCUACGGGAGGCAGCAGUGGGGAAUUUUGGACAAUGGGCGAAAGCCUGAUCCAGCCAUGCCGCGUGCAGGAUGAAGGCCUUGGUGUAACUGCUCUUGUACGGAACGAAAGUCUCUUUCUAAUAAAGUAAGGACCAUAGACGGUACCGUAAGAAUAAGACACCGACUAACUACGUACG